GGGGGAAGUACUAUUUGGAUUAUAGAAA
rnacentral:piRNA from 1 species